rnacentral:misc_RNA from 1 species
GAUGAAGAACGCAGCGAAAUGCGAUAAGUAGUGUGAAUUGCAGAAUUCAGUGAAUCAUCGAAUCUUUGAACGCACAUUGCGCCCCUUGGUAUUCCAUGGGGCAUGCCUGUUCGAGCGUCAUUUGUACCUUCAAGCUCUGCUUGGUGUUGGGUGUUUGUCUCCUCUGCGUGUAGACUCGCCUCAAAACAAUUGGCAGCCGGCGUAUUGAUUUCGGAGCGCAGUACAUCUCGCGCUUUGCACUCAUAACGACGACGUCCAAAAGUACAUUUUUACACUCUUGACCUCGGAUCAGGUAGGGAUACCCGCUGAACUUAAGCAUAUCAAUAAGCGGAGGA